AUGGUAGCAUACAGAACAUUGAGAGAGACAAUUGUUAAAUGGGAGGUUGAGUUUACAGAGAUUGAUCCACAAGUUCUACAGAACAUGGGAGAGACGGCAGUGAAGAAAUGGGUGGAAAAAAUUGGGAAGAAUAUUGUUUGGGGUCCAGAGCAAGAAGUAUCACUGUUGCGGUUUGAUGAUUGGAAAGGAGAGUAUGUGAGAAUAGAAGAUGGUGAACAGAUUGUUGAAGAAAUCGAUCGGCAAAACGGCUCGACAAGCAAACGGGCUAAUUUUUUUGCUGAGCUCGUUGAACUGAGCAUUUUUUCGAAGGUUGGAUAUGUGCCAUAA
rnacentral:rRNA from 1 species